UAUCUAUCUAUCUAUCUAUCUAUCUAUCUAUCUAUCUAUCUAUCUAUCUAUCUAUCUAUCUAUCUAUCUAUCUAUCUAUCUAUCUAUCUAUCUAUCUUUUGUGCCAUUAGUGAUCUUUUAUGAAACUCACUGUACCCGACUGCACUUAACCUUAAACAGAGUAAACUAGCACUACAGAUAACCAACCACACCCCCCACCGCCUCAAAUCAUCAAACUGUAGCUUUCUCCCACCGGAGCGCGUGCGUGAGUGCGCGCGCACGAUUGGCAGCUCCACGUCGACAUUCUUCCAGCUGCUCCACGGACACGGACGCGGCGUGAAAGCGCGUCAUCUGCUCAGUUCACGAGUGAAGUCGUCCGCACAGAGCUGUGCGUCUCCUGUCGUUGCGUUUUAUCCCGUGCGUGAGAUGCAGCAGGCAAACACAAAUGUGUACUUUGGGGCUGGUGGCGCAUGUGUAAGCAAGAAUGACUCUGGAAAGACAUUUCUCCAAGGAGUACCUGGCUGUUGUGAUGUGCCAUCUGCUACAGACAUAAGCUGUGUUUCUCUCAGAGGGUCGUGAGGAAGAGUUUCACUGCGAAGAAGGAAAACUAGUGUGCAAUGCUGUGGCUUUCCAAGUAAAGUUCUGUGAUACACUUCGGCUCUAAUUGUUUGCAGUCAGUGCAUUACAGAACUUUGUUUUGGGAGUUUAAAGCUCAGGCCUGGAGGAAACAAUCAUUCCAUUUGGAUGAAGCUGUAACAGCCCCUCGAAAAGCCCUCAACUGCAUUAAACUUCACAUAUUGUGUCCCUCAAAUGCAUGCAGAAAUAAAUAUUAUCAUUAUCAUUAUAACAAAUGUCUUGUGCUUUUUAACAUCAACAUUCUUCUUUGUGUGUGUGUGAUAAUAAAGAUCUGAGUA